ensembl:lncRNA
UUUCUCCGUAAACAUCUUGCAUUUUUAAUUUUUUUUAAAACCAGGGAUCUUAACUUUCUGUUACUGUUGUAACUGUUCUUAUAAUAUAUUUUGAUUUUUAGUUUUUUACUGAUGAAAACUAAAUUGAUUUUGCAUGGCAAAUUUUAUCCAGCCAACUUGCUGAGUUUUUUUUAUCAGUUCCAUUGUUUAUUAGUUGAUUCUCUUAAAUGUUCUAGGAAGAACAUUAUCUUUAUAAUCUUUGAGCCACUUUUUUCUUUUGCUAUUUUACUUUUAGUCUCCAGUAUAACAAUCAAUAAUAGAAAUGGUCAAAGAAAUUCUGUUCUUAUUUCUGCUGUUACUGAGCAUGUGUUUAAUAUUUCAUUAUUAAAUGUGAUUUUUGCAUCAGUUUUUACCAGAUGGUACUUAAUGAAUUAAGAAAGUUUCAACUUCUCAUUUUUUGAGUUGUUACCAUGAAUGUGUUAGAUUUUAUAAAAUUCUUAAUUAACAUCCAUGCAAAUAAUCAUACAAUUUUCUCUUCAAGUCUGUUAACAAAGAAAAUUACCUUGAUAGAGUUUCUCAUUUUGACCUAUCUUUUCAAUGCAUGGAUAAGCUUUCUUGGUCAGUAUAUCAUAAAGUAUUGCAUUCAGCUACUAGUAUGAGAGACCCGGCUAUGGUGAAUUGAAUACGCAAGGGCUCAUAUUCCCGACAUAAUCAGGUCUAGAGUAAAGCAGUUGCUGGCACGGGUUCAGCAAUUUAAGGAUAUAAGGGGGGAAGUCUUUGUCUUCUUGUUUUUGCUUGUAAUCCCAAGAUUACCACUAGAAAUGUAAGCAUCAUGUCCUCAUUAGAGGCAGGAAAAAUGAGGGGGGAGUUGCAGGGAAGGGAUUUGAGUAAUGAUAGUUUCCCAGAAGUCCUAACCCUAAGUUUCUCUUUGCAUUUUGUUAUCCAUCCAACCUCCAAAAGAUUGAGAGAAGUAUAAUUUUUAAGCUGGUUAUAUUAGUGAUUGGAUUAAAAUGAGGGGAUUGUUACUAGGGAAGAAGGAAGCUGAGUAUUUAGCAGAUAGCUGAUUAUCCUCUCUCUGUUUGUAAUACAUUGUCCUUUUAACACAUUGCUUGAUUUGAUUGGCUAAUAUUUUAUUUGUAAUUUGGCACUAUCACUGGUAUAACCCUUAGAGCUUAUUCAGAUUUCACCAGUUAUAAGCACAUUCAUUUAUGUGUGGGAGGAGGGGUAUAGCUCUGCACAGUUCUAUCACAUGCAUAAGUAAUCACUACAACAAUCAAGAUACUUAAUUGAACCAUUAUGAUAAGACUCCUCUAUUCAACUUUUUUACAGCCACACUCACUCCUGCCUCUGCAUCUUAACCUUCAACAAUCACUAGUUUGUUUUGCAUCCAUGUGUUUGCUACUUCAUGAGUGUUAUAUGAAUGGAACCAUGCAGUAUAUAUGCUUUUGGUAUUAGAUGUUUUUCUCAACAUAAUGUCCUUUACAUUCGUGCAAGUUAUUGCAGCUUUCAAUAGCAAGUUAUUCCUGAGUAGUGUUCUAUGGCACAGAUGCAUCUUACUUUCUUAAUCAUACAAUAAUUAAUUGGAUGUAGGACAUUUGGAUAGUUUCUGGUUUGGGACUACUAUAUUAAAGCUGCUAAGAAUAUUCAUGUCCAAGGUUUUACAAGGAAAAGAGUUUUCAUUACUUUGGCAUUUGUAUACAAUACAUAUGCCAUUUCUAGAUCAUGCGGUAAUCCAUUUUUUAAUUUUAAAGGGAACUAGGAGACUCUUUUCCAGAGUGCUUUCAAUAUUUUAUAUUCCUAUUAGAGAUGUAGGAGAGAUUAGGUUUUCAACAUCCUCACCAAUAUUUGGUAUUAUCACUAUUUUUAACUUGGUUCUUCUGACAGUUGGUUGGUUUUAAUUUGCAUUUAUUUAAGUGACUAUUUCUGCUUCAUUGACUAUGUCAAAGUCUUUGACUAUGUGGAUCACAAUAAACUGGAAAAUUCUGAAAGAGAUGGG